UCCACUCCCCUCUUAAUGAAGACAGUCCUGUCCAUUCACAUCUUCCUGAGCGAAGCUCGGUCCAUUCCCAACUUAGUGAAGACAGUCCAGUCCAUUCACCUCUUUCUGAGCGAAGCCUGGUCCAUUCCCAACUUAGCGAAGACAGUCCUGUCCAUUCACAUCUUCCUGAGUGAAGCCCGGUCCAUUCCCAACUUAGCGAGGACAGUCCUGUCCAUUCACCUCUUUCUGAGUGAAGCCCGGUCCAUUCCAAACUUAGUGAAGACAGUCCUGUCCAUUCACCUUUUCCUGAGCGAAACCUGGUCCAUUCCCAACUUAACGAAGACAGUUCUGUCCAUUCACAUCUUCCUGAGUGAAGCCCGGUCCAUUCCCAACUUAGCGAAGACAGUCCUGUCCAUUCACCUCUUUCUGAGCGAAGCCCGGUCCAUUCCAAACUUAGCGAAGACAGUCCUGUCCAUUCACCUUUUCCAGAGCGAAACCUGGUCCAUUCCCAACUUAACGAAGACAGUCCUGUCCAUUCACAUCUUCCUGAGCGAAGCUCGGUCCAUUCCCAACUUAGUGAAGACAGUCCAGUCCAUUCACCUCUUUCUGAGCGAAGCCUGGUCCAUUCCCAACUUAGCGAAGACAGUCCUGUCCAUUCACAUCUUCCUGAGUGAAGCCCGGUCCAUUCCCAACUUAGCGAAGACAGUCCUGUCCAUUCACCUCUUUCUGAGCGAAGCCCGGUCCAUUCCAAACUUAGUGAAGACAGUCCUGUCCAUUCACCUUUUCCUGAGCGAAACCUGGUCCAUUCCCAACUUAACGAAGACAGUCCUGUCCAUUCACAUCUUCCUGAGCGAAGCCCGGUCCAUUCCCAACUUAGCGAAGACAGUCCUGUCCAUUCACCUCUUUCUGAGCGAAGCCCGGUCCAUUCCAAACUUAGUGAAGACAGUCCUGUCCAUUCACCUUUUCCUGAGCGAAACCUGGUCCAUUCCCAACUUAACGAAGACAGUUCUGUCCAUUCACAUCUUCCUGAGUGAAGCCCGGUCCAUUCCCAACUUAGCGAAGACAGUCCUGUCCAUUCACCUCUUUCUGAGCGAAGCCCGGUCCAUUCCCAACUUAGCGAAGACAGUCCUGUCCAUUCACCUCUUUCUGAGCGAAGUGUAUAGCUAGAAGUACAGUAACUCAAUGUAUCCGUCUUUUCCACUGCUGUGCUCAGAACUGCUCUAUACCAGGGUUGUGCAGCAUUAAGAAUGCCAUCUGUUAAAUUGAAGUGAAUUCGAAUUAAUGUGGCAAACAUGACCUACAAUUGCAAUUUGAAUAUGAAUUUAGGAAGCAGAAUUAAAAUGGAAUGAAGUUCAAAAAAUUAAUAACUGUUGUUAAGUUUAUUUUUUAGUUAUGUAUUUGAUUUUUCUGUAAAACAUGAAACAUGUUAUCAUACACACUGCAUUUAGGGUAUUUUCAAAAACAUUGCACUGUAUAAUUAUUCUUAUAUCAGGUAAAUAAUAUUUAAAAAACAGACAGGCCAGUUUAUUUGAUUAUUGUGGUUAUUUCAUAUUUCAUCCAUUUUCAUUUUAUGGACAGUGGUGGAGGAGCACACCUUUUCCUGCAUUGCUCUAAUUUAAUUUUUAUAUUCAUGAUUAUUUUGUACAGUAACACUUUGGUUCAAGUUUCAAAUUACAACUCAUGAAUUGAAAGAGAGUUAAUUCUGAAAUUCUUAAUUUUGGCACAAGUUUCGCUAUGUGAAAUAUUCCGUUUUUUGGGGGGUGGGUGUUUUUUGUUUUUUUUAUGUUUUUGUGUUUCAGAUCAACACACCUAGAUCUGUGGAAGAAGCAAGGGCAGCAGUUUCUGCCUUUGCAGACACCCUAGGUGUUAUGGGGGCCUUCACUUACAUCAGAAAUGUAGAAGAGCGGGGUAGGGUAAUGCAGACUGCAUUGCAGUUUUAACUUCAGGACAGAUUUUCACAGCCUCUUUCACAGCUAAAGGAAGGUCUAAUGACUUUGGGGGUCCUAAAUGAGGUUGUAGCCAACCCAGAGAUAUUCCACAGAAUCUUCACAGCAUCCGUUGUGCCUCUAAACUCCACUGACCUAGUGAACCUUUUCAACCCCAUUUUCUCGCUGAUUGGAAGUAAUAGGAGAAGGUUUGAGAAUAGAACUCUUGCUUUCUGGAGAGACUGGCUGUUGGAGGUGGAACGUAAUUAUUUGUUUGCUUUUGAUGUAUCCAAGUGUUUUAACAGCAACGAUUACUGUAUGUGUUACCUGAGAAGUGAGUGAGGGUCUGGCCUGUGUCAGUGAAAGUGUUUACUCAUUUAGCCAGGCUUCAAGGGCAGACAUGGCAUCUGUGUUGUAUUUCAUUUAUUUUACAUCACAUUUUUAUUACAUUUAUUCAUAUACAGUUGCCGCAAAAAGUAUUUGGACACCAAAGCCUUAAGACAGUGCGAAUGCUGCAGUAAAUUUCAGUUUCCUUUGCUUGUUGUAAGAACACUUCUUGAAUAUA